CGGGCGCCUCUGGAGCUGCGCAGGGCUGCAGAAGGGGGACCAGCCAAGGCGGGCUCUGAGGGACCCUGGCCCGGAAUUGGAGCAGGUGUGCCGGCCUUAGGUCAGAGGUGCCUGCUUAUCCACACCUGACAGCACUUCUCCACUCUGGCUCCAUGAGGCCCGAAGUUUUUGAAUCAGCAUCUGAGUCAGUCAUGCAUCUUGUCUCAGGAUGUUGGCGUUCCAAGAAGGCAGCAGAUACGUUCGUCGCAAUGCCAUAUUCAUGUCCGGAUGGGAGGCAAUCCCUUGGAUUUGAAAGGGAAGAUGAGAUGGACUCGGUGUGUGUUUGGAACCUAGAAUGCAUUCCUUCAUCGAACAGUGUUGAUUCCAUGGGUCCUAGGCUGUGGGGAAUGGCCGGCAUCUACAGUGAGGUGGCUGUUUGUGGUCAGAUGCAGACUUUGAUGAUGUCAUUUUUCAAAGGUGAAGUUUCAUAAUUGAUUAGUCUUUUCAUCAAAAGAGUUACAAUUAGGGUCAAGGGAAGAUUAAAAAUUAUUCAAAGUAGACAUUUACCAUUUAAAAGGAAAGCUUGACCUUCUAGUUUGACUCAGUGUAUUGUCUAGAUAUUUGGACGUGCUGUAUUUUCUCUGCAGUUUCCUUGGUGGUGGAGUCAGAAUGAUGAGGGAGCAGGAGGCUGGCUGAGGACAAAGCAAGAGCUGGCGCCUUGCACCCCCCCCUUCCAUCCGCUCCCCUCCAUAGGUGUAGCAUUCCUCAGGCACCCUUGACUGCCAUAAAGUGAUAAAUAGUUAACUUGCUGAGAUCACAAUCCUGCAAGACAGGAGUCUCCCUUGGUUUGCAAAUGCCCUUGAGAUUACAACAAAGAAGUUACCUUAUCAAUAGCCCAAUUUCCAAAGACUCAGAUCUCAGUUCCUCAAGCCCUAACGUCACCCUCCCCUCCAUAAAAACCGAAGGAGGUGGAAGUAGAAGGAAAAGUAAAUAAAGUUAAAUUUCUUCUAAACCUAAAUCUCAUUAACAAGGAUGCUUGAUAGCAGGAAUGUAACAUUCCACCAGACUUCCAAUUGUCUUUACUUGAUAGCAACUAAGCCUUCGAUAUCCUGAUAGUAUUCUUUGCCCCAAUAGCCCUUCUGAACACCCCUUUGUCCUCACCUACCCAACUCCUGUGUAUAUAACCAACCACCCCUCACAACCCGGGGCAGACGCAUCUCCGCCUGCCCACGGGCCCUGUCCCCGUGCUCUAAUAAAUC